rnacentral:rRNA from 1 species
UGGGGAAUAUUGGGCAAUGGGCGAAAGCCUGACCCAGCAACGCCGCGUGAAGGAAGAAGGCCCUCGGGUUGUAAACUUCUUUUGUCAGGGACGAAGCAAGUGACGGUACCUGACGAAUAAGCCACGGCUAACUACGUGCCAGCAGCCGCGGUAAUACGUAGGUGGCAAGCGUUAUCCGGAUUUACUGGGUGUAAAGGGCGUGUAGGCGGGAGUGCAAGUCAGAUGUGAAAACUAUGGGCUCAACCCAUAGCCUGCAUUUGAAACUGUACUUCUUGAGUGAUGGAGAGGCAGGCGGAAUUCCCUGUGUAGCGGUGAAAUGCGUAGAUAUAGGGAGGAACACCAGUGGCGAAGGCGGCCUGCUGGACAUUAACUGACGCUGAGGCGCGAAAGCGUGGGGAGCAAACA